CACCUCCCUGGGCACCAGCCGCUCCUUGGUGGGCAGGUUGGAGUACUGCACCACGGUGGGCACACCGCAGCUGGGUCCAUGCCAGCCGGGCAGGCACACGCACUCCACCCACUUGCGCCGCGCGCCCCGGCCGCCCGUGCGCUCCCGGGCGCUCAGCAGAGGAGGAAACCAGGACUUAGGGGCCUUCAGGGACCUGCCCAAAGUCACAACAGAGCUGGAGUGUGAACCAGGCAGCUGGGCUCUGCACCAGGUGCCCCUCAUGGCCUCAGCUUGGCGAGAAGUCCUGAGAAGGCUGGCUGCUAGGAGGCUCAGAAGCACACAGCCUCAGAAGCACACAGUGGUUAGCCCCGAGCAUGUCAACAGUGCCUCACAGACAGCAUUUUCUUGGACUCCUUCACUUGCAGCUGCCCGCACAGUUUCAAUCCUUUUCAGCUCAAUUCCUUUUUGUCUUUUCGUUUUUUUAUUGAGACAGCAUAUAAAUAAAAUGGAACAAAUAAGCACUGGCA